UCCCUCGUGGUCUAGUGGUUAAGACUCCAAGCUUUUACUGCUGAGGGCCCAGGUUCAAUCCCUGGUUGGGGAA
rnacentral:tRNA from 1 species